rnacentral:rRNA from 1 species
AGUGAACGCUGGCGGUAGGCCUAACACAUGCAAGUCGAACGGCAGCACAGGAGAGCUUGCUCUCUAGGUGGCGAGUGGCGGACGGGUGAGGAAUACAUCGGAAUCUGCCCAGUCGUGGGUGAUAACGUAGGGAAACUUACGCUAAUACCUCAUACGACCUUCUGGUUAAAGAGGGGGAUCGCAAUACCUCUCGCGAUUGGAUGAGCCGAUGUCGGAUUAGCUAGUUAGCGGGGUAAUGGCCCACCAAGGCGACGAUCCGUAGCUGGUCUGAGAGGAUGAUCAGCCACACUGGAACUGAGACACGGUCCAGACUCCUACGGGAGGCAGCAGUGGGGAAUAUUGGACAAUGGGCGCAAGCCUGAUACAGCCAUACCGAGUGGGUGAAGAAGGCCUUCGGGUUGUAAAGACCUUUUGUUGGGAAAGAAAUCUUUCAGGCUAAUACCCUGGGAGGAUGACGGUACCCAAAGAAUAAGCACCGGCUAACUUCGUG